rnacentral:rRNA from 1 species
GAUGAACGCUAGCGAUAGGCCUAACACAUGCAAGUCGAGGGGCAUCACAUGAAGUAGCAAUACGGAUGGUGGCGACCGGCGCACGGGUGAGUAACACGUAUGCAACCUGCCUUCAACAAGGGGAUAACCCGUUGAAAGACGGACUAAUACCCUAUAACACAGGGGUCCCGCAUGGGAAUAUUUGUUAAAGGACAACCGGUUGAAGAUGGGCAUGCGUUCCAUUAGCUAGUUGGCGGGGUAACGGCCCACCAAGGCAACGAUGGAUAGGGGAACUGAGAGGUUUAUCCCCCACACUGGUACUGAGACACGGACCAGACUCCUACGGGAGGCAGCAGUGAGGAAUAUUGGUCAAUGGGGGAAACCCUGAACCAGCCACGUCGCGUGAAGGAAGACGGCCCUACGGGUUGUAAACUUCUUUUAUACGGGAAUAAAGUGCCCCACGCGUGGGGUUUGCAUGUACCGUAUGAAUAAGGAUCGGCUAACUCCGUG